rnacentral:misc_RNA from 1 species
GAUGUAGAACGCAGCGAAAUGCGAUAAGUAAUGCGAAUUGCAGAAUUCAGUGAGUCAUCGAAUCUUUGAACGCACAUUGCGCCCUGUGGUAUUCCGCAGGGCAUGCCUGUUCGAGCGUCAUUUCAACCCUCAAGCCCCGCUUGGUGUUGGGCCCCGCCCGCUGUGGCCGGCCCUAAAGACAGUGGCGGCGCCGCCUGGCCCUCAGCGUAGUACAUCUCUCGCUCCAGGGUCCGGUGGCCGCCUGCCAGAACCCCCCAACUCUGUGGUUGACCUCGGAUCAGGUAGGGAUACCCGCUGAACUUAAGCAUAUCAAUAAGCGGAGGA